ensembl:lncRNA
GCGUGCGCGCCAGCGAGAGGGGGCGGACCGAAGUUGGAGGAGGCGGGGCAUGUCCUUGCAUUCUGCAGUCCAUUGGCUGUCUCCCAGUAGUCUCCGCCCCCAGGCGUUCGAGACGACGGGGCGGGCCACGUCAGGCAGCCGGCGUGGGGCUGAGCUUGUGGCAGAAGGGAGGCAGCACAUCCGCUCUGGCCCCAAGUCCCUAACUUUUCAUCAAGGAAUUAAUAGUAUUGCCUGGAAGUCACAGACAAGACCAAAACACAAUGAGGUAAAUAUUAUAAUUAGAUGUAUUCAUUGAGUACUGUGAUGGGGGGUAGGGGAAAACUGGGUGUGAGAUUUUACGGAAUUUAGAGAAGACUUUCUGGAAGAAUUUUUAUUAGAACUGAAUUUUGAAAGCAAGUAGGAAUUGGUUGGUGAAGAUGUUAAAUAAAGUACAAGGAAUAUAUAAGGCCAAAUGGACAGGUUAGGGACAAAACAUAGAGAGAAUAGAGAGAUGAGGUUUAAUAGGCAAAGGCCAAAUAAUAAAAGGCCCUCUUCCCCACCAUGUUAAAGAUUUUGGACAUUAUCCUUGAGACUGUUGUGAUCCAUGGGGAAGAAACUUUAAGUGAAGGAAACUUAAGGACAGCUUUAUGUGGCAAUGUGCUGAAUGAAUUUUAAUGGAACAAGGCUCGAUUGUGAAGGCAGUACAUGAUAGAACUCUGAAUUGUGCCUUGGGGCUUGAGUGAAUAGGAUGGGUUCAGGGUGUAUUAAGAUGAUGAAGUUGGUGCCCACUUUCAUAUAUGGAAUGAGGAAAAGCUGGAGUCAAGGAUGCCUCAUAUGUUUAUGACUGCCGAAGAGGGGAAUCACAUGAGAAUUAAAAUGGUCUUGAGCAUGCCUUUACGUCACACAUUUGGUGCUGUUCAGUGGGCAGUGGGCGGCACUGGUUUGGGGGUGAAGCAUGGGAUUCUAGGCUAUGUAGAGAUUAAAAUGUUACCAGCAUGUAAGUGUUGAAAAUGAAUGUGAUAGGUAAGAGAGAGUUUGUGGAGUAAAAGAAAACAGAAGAGAAACUCUGAGAAGCACCACCAUACAAGGAAGAUGAUCCAGUGAAAAAGACUGAGAAGGAACUGUCUAAUGACAGUGGAGUUUAGAAGACAAGGAGGGAGAGAAUUUGAGAAAGAAAAGUCAGCUGUCAAAUCCAUUGGGAAUGGGAGAGCUGAGUAGAGAUUUUGGGAAGAUUUGCCAGUUAGGUAAGAAGCAGUCAUUGUAAUGAUACUAGAUCAUAUAAUUGUGUGACUUUCUGUAGCAAGAUUCAGUAGAACUAGAGAUUAUGAAUAGUUGGAAUAUCCAGGAUUUGGAUUUUUGUUACAUACCUAUGGUAGGAAUACAAGGGAGUUCAAAGUAUUGGCAAGAUGGUGUAGAAGUGAUGGAAUGUGAAGUUUAGACUGGAUAGAGGUGGUGACCAGGCCAGGAGGACACUGAAAGAAAAUUGAUUCAAGGCAUUAGGUCGGAGCAGAAUACUAGAGUUUUAGAUUUUAGGAUGCCAGUGGCAUGUAGGGUUUGGCCUUGGAUGUAGAUGGCUAAAGUGGAGAUGAUACGAAGGUGUUCAAGAACAGUGAGACUCGUGUGUUGGAUGAGUCACUCACUUAGGUGUUGACCCCAGAUGAUUGUGUACCCAGGAUGGAGAGAGAGACUAUGAGAUAGACUAUGGUUUCUGAGGUUUUAGAUUGCCUAUGGUAGUGAUCAGUAUAUACUAGAGAGGAAGAUACCUGGAUGCAUGCCCUCACAGGUAAGGGGGUAAGUGGCAUGGAAAUAUUCUUCUGGGCCUUAGAGCUUGGGAGGAUGAUUAGCCUUCACUAAAGUGGCCAGCAAAGAGGAAAAGUAUGGUUUCCACUGGCCUAGGAGGUAAGGGAAGAUCUAAUGGAGAGGCUGAGCAUCUAAUAAAAAACCUCAUUGACCAUGGUAUCAGAAUUCAAAAGGUUGGGACUGUUUAGUAUUUAGUGAAGAGAAAGGCAAGCUAGAAAGAGUUCAGAUUUGGGUGUAAGGGUGACGGGUUUUUUUUUUUUUUUUUUUUUUUUUGUUCUGACGCAAAUGGCUGGCUUUGAAAUUACAAAUAGUUUGGAUUUCAGGUUUUGGUGAAGCUUCUUGUUAUCAACUCUGCCUAUCAAAUCAUUGCAGUUUCUGUAGAAGGACAGCAGAUAUAGAGGUAUUUCCAAAUUUGAAAGUAACAUAUCGGAGUUCCCAUCGUGGCUCAGUGGUUAACGAAUCCGACUAGGAACCAUGAGGUUGUGGGUUCGAUCCCUGGCCUUGCUAAGUGGGUUAAGGAUUCAGCGUUGCUGUG